GAUGAACGCUGGCGGCGUGCUUAAUACAUGCAAGUCGAGCGGACGGACGCUACUCUUGCUUGUUUCUUGUUAGCGGCGGGCGGGUGAGUAACACGUGUAUAACCUACCUAUCUGUCUGGGAUCACUUCGGAACAGCGGCGCUAAUCCCGGAGAAUCUUUUGCACCGUGUUGGUGAAUGGUGAGUUACGGUCUUGCGGUCUCUUAUCGAUGGAUCCGGGCUGCAUUAGCUAGUUGGUAAGGUAACGGGUUUCCAAGGCAACGAUGCAUAGCCGAACGGAGAGGGUGAUCGGCCGCACGAGAGCUGAGACGGGGACCAGACUACUGCGGGAGGCAGCAGUAGGGUAUGGGCCGCAGUGGGCGAGAGCAUGGCGGAGCAACGCCGCGCGAGUGAUGGAGGUCUUGGGAUCGGAAAACUCUGCUACUAGGGAAGAACAGCUGUCUAAGGAACUGUGGACAGCGUGACGGUACCUAAUCAGGAAGCCACGGCUAACUACGUG
rnacentral:rRNA from 1 species